rnacentral:rRNA from 1 species
GUACAAGUCCCUUGGAACAGGGCGUCAUAGAGGGUGAGAAUCCCGUCCUUGACACAGACUACCAAUGCUUUGUGAUGCGAUCUCGAAGAGUCGAGUUGUUUGGGAAUGCAGCUCAAAAUGGGUGGUAAAUUCCAUCUAAAGCUAAAUAUUGGCGAGAGACCGAUAGCGAACAAGUACCGUGAGGGAAAGAUGAAAAGCACUUUGGAAAGAGAGUUAAACAGUACGUGAAAUUGUUAAAAGGGAAACGAUUGAAGUCAGUCAUGCUCUCCGAGACUCAGCCGAUUCUGUCGGUGUACUUCUCGGUUGGCAGGCCAGCAUCAGUUUUGAUCUGUGGAAAAGGUUGGAGAGAAUGUGGCAUCCUCGGAUGUGUUAU